rnacentral:rRNA from 1 species
UAGUGGACAGUGGCAGACGGGUGAGUAACGCGUAGCAACCUACCUAUUUCUACGGAAUAACGUCGAGAAAUUGACGCUAAUACCGUAUACGCCCUCCGGGGGAAAGAUUUAUCGGUGAUAGAUGGGGCUGCGUUAGAUUAGCUAGAUGGUGAGGUAAUGGCUCACCAUGGCGACGAUCUAUAGCGGGUCUGAGAGGAUGAUCCGCCACACUGGGACUGAGACACGGCCCAGACUCCUACGGGAGGCAGCAGUGGGGAAUCUUAGACAAUGGGCGCAAGCCUGAUCUAGCCAUGCCGCGUGAAUGAUGAAGGCCUUAGGGUUGUAAAAUUCUUUCGCUAGGGAAGAUAAUGACGGUACCUAGUAAAGAAGCCCCGGCUAACUCCGUGCCAGCAGCCGCGGUAAUACGGAGGGGGCUAGCGUUGUUCGGAAUUACUGGGCGUAAAGCGUACGUAGGCGGAUUAGUAAGUAAGAUGUGAAAUCCCGGGGCUCAACCCCGGAACUGCAUUUUAAACUGCUAGUCUAGAGUUAUGGAGAGGUAAGUGGAAUUCCUAGUGUAGAGGUGAAAUUCGUAGAUAUUAGGAGGAACACCAGAGGCGAAGGCGACUUACUGGACAUAUACUGACGCUGAGGUACGAAAGUGUGGGUAGCAA